GCGAAGGUGGCGGAAUUGGUAGACGCGCUAGCUUCAGGUGUUAGUGUCCUUAGGAUGUGGGGGUUCGAGUCCCCCCCCUC
rnacentral:tRNA from 12 species